UGCAGAAACAGUGUGAAGCAAUUGGAAAGUCCCUUACCAUGCAGCCCUUUUUAAACAGACCAAACAAAUAUUUAGUCCCUCCAUGAUCACCAACUGUUAUCAUGGGACCUACACUAAAAUUAAUAUUUCGGGUUCUUGUUGCAAGCUUAGAGAAGCAUUCUAAACUUAGACAAGACAGGAAACAUGACAAAGCUCAGAAUUUAUUUGAGGAAGUGAGAGGAAUACAAAGGAAUGCAAGGGCGUCAUUUAAGGGAGAGCAGGGUCAGGAAGAUAGACUGGGAGAUCCAUACCAGGCACUGGACAGAACAAGGGCUACAUGUGGGAGUCCACAGGCCAGAACCACGUGGGGAAGCCACGUGGGCAGGAGUGGUCAUGAAACAGGCAGCAUGUCGAAGAACAGGGCUACAUUUCUCAAUAAAAUACAUUAAUUCAUUCUGAAAUGUUUGAUAAUUUUAUCAGCUCUAAAGCAAAUUUUACAUCUCUAAUUGCUUCAUAAACUCUAACUCAUUCUGAAAUUUUCUUACAAACUUCUGCUAUCAAGAAAAAUAUAAAUUGAUUGGUCAAGUUUUCUUCAACUGGAAGGCUACAGAAUUGGGGGUAUUGAUAUGUCCCUGUGGGCCAAGUGGAGACUGAUGUUCUCAAACCUGGCUUGAAAGUCAACUUUGCUCCAGUCAACACCGCAAUGCAAGUGAAGUCUGUCAAAACACUCCAUGAAGCUCUGAGUGAAGCUUCCUCUGGGGGCAGUGUGGGCUUCCGUGUCAAGACCAUGUCUUUCAGAGAGAUAGUCAUCAUGGCAAUGUUGCUGGUAACAGCAAAACAGGACCCAUCAGCGGAAGCAUCUGACUUCACUGCUUAUUCUGAACCAUCCAGGCCAAAUCAGGUACUAACUCAAGAAAAGAAAACAUAUGCCCACACAAGGACUUGUGCAUGACUGCUGUUCAUGUGUGAUAGGCAAAACAUGGAAAUAAGUCAAAGAUCCUGCAAUCGGAGAAUGCACUGUGUCCACACAAUGGGAUAUUCUUCACAAUAAAAGGGGAUGAACCAUUGAUAUGUAAGGUGCUGUGGCAUAUCUGGUAAAGCCAUCUCCUGCAGUGCUGGCAUCCCAUAUGGGUGCCAGUAUGAGACCUGGCUGCUCCACUUCCCAUCCAGCUCUCUGCUAUGGCCUGGGAAAGCGGCAGAUGGCCCAAGUCCUUGGGCCCCUGCUCCUGCAAGGGAGACCUGGAAGAAGCUCCUGGCUCCUGGAUUCAGAUCAGCCCAGCAUUAGCCCUUACAGCAUUUGUGGAGUGAACCAGCGGAAGACACCCCCGCCCCCCUUUCUGGAACUCUGCCUUUCAAAUAAAUAAAUAACUCUUUUUAAAAAAUAAAGUCCUGCCCUUGUUGGCAGCUAACCCCAGGACACGCAAUUUGGUACCCACCUUAACUGUGCAAUCAGAACUGUGUCAUCUGAACCAUUUGGGACAUUGGGGAUUGUUUCUGCUGUUGAUCAUCAAUCCUUUUCAAGGGCAUGAAUAAGAUUAGUUUACGCCUUGUAAAUGGAUGCUGAUGAUAUGCUACUACAACUUGCUUCUUUGACAUGCUUUUGUUCUUUCUUAACAUGAGGUGCCCAUUUGCACACUGCUGGUUUCUUUGGGGGCAUUGCCUCCGUAAGUCUUUUGUAAAACCCCAGUGAUUGCACCCAGGCGUCACCAUCAUUUGUUGUUUGUCCAAUUUAGCAGAAUCCCUGCUGCUCUGGUAGAAGCUCUUUUCUACCUGAAGCUUUAUCUUUCUUGGUGCCUCAAACUAGAUUCUAUUCAGGCAUGAAUUACUAUGAGUUUAUCAGAGUGGAAAAUGUUUUUCAAGUAUAUGCAUUGUUUUCUCAUAAUAUAGUAUUCCAAUCACUUUUUAGACUCGUGUGUGUGUGUGUGUGUGCGUGCGUGUGCAUGUGUGCUCUGGGUUCUGCUUGUCUGAAUGGCAUGAUUUGGCUAGCGACCUUUUGUGUUGUCCUUCUACCCUGAGUACCACAUGUCUCAGAAAAUGGUACUUUUAAUUUGGGUUCCAAAAUGAAAAGAUGGAUACAGUCUAGCAAACUGCCCACACCCUGCCAAGCUCUUCAGAGUUCCAGUUGAGCAUGAACCCUCAGAUAAUGUGAGUUAGAGUGUUUUAGGGGAAGGGAGAUAUUGUUAUGAAAAAUAGUGAAUUUACAGACUAUUAGAAGAAGCAAAGGAUUAUCUCUGAAGUGAAACAGAUUGUAAAGUGUAGCAAGGAAAAUCACUGUUAAUAAAUGAUCCUGUUCUGGUUAGCAUUCAUAUAAAAUUUGAGGCAAUAAGAUUUUUGCAAAGAAACAGUAGAAAUAAUGAGGAAAAAAUCAAGGAGGAGUCAACUAGGAAUCAAUAUCUAUUUACAGAGGAUCUUCUUUUUCAAAAAAUCCAUCAUAAUACCUUCUGGGAAGGAAACAGAUUUCAGUGCCGAUAAUAUUUGACCUCAGCAGACCUCGUAGUAAACAGUCUACUACUCUGAUUGGGUUUAGCAACAGGGGAAUAUAUCUUAAAAAUGCUUUUAACAGUAUGUACUUGUUCAUCCAGAUUGCUUAUUAUAAAUAAACUCAAAUUUAUGGAGUUGUAGGCCAUGACUGAUUGGAGAACAGAAAGAAUGCAUGCAGAGUCUUUUUGUGUGACAAAGGGAAAAUAAAUACUGAGAAGUCCUAGACCCAGACAGCUUCCCCUGAGAACAGUGCUCUGCACAUAUUGUUAGUGCUGCCUGCUUCUGUGAGGCCAAGUCUUGAUUCAAAGUGCAAGAACGGGGCAUGUUAUGCAAGCUAUUUCUGUUGGUUUGGGAUGCCUCCAGAGCAGGAUGUUAUAUCUACAUUGCUUUGUUGCUUUAUUCUUUUCAUUACUGGUGAAAUUUGCUGUUGGAUAUGAUAUUUGAAUCAUGUGUAUUUUGCCAAUUUAAACCUUGUGGUGGUGUACCAAUUAUAAUGAGAAAUUAUUAGUUUUUCCUUGGAACCAAGCACUAAACUAUGUCUUAAAGGGAUUAUGGAUACAUUAAGAAAAAUAGCAUAGCAGGAAAUUUUAAGCACAUGUUGUGACAGAAAUCAAAAUAGGAUAGCAAGGGAAAAUAAUUAAUUCAAAGGCAAGCAUGUGGUACAGUAAUUACUGCUUGAGACAUACACAUCCCACAUUGAUUCUGAUGCUUCCUGCUAAUGCACACCCUGAGAGGGAGAAGAUGAUGGCUCAAGUACUUGGGUCCCUGUCCUGGGUCACAGCCUUGCAUAGCCACAGCUGUGUGCCCUUGGAGAGUGAACCACUGGAUGGAAGGUCUCUCUCCUCUUACUCUCUCUCUCCCUCUCUCUUUCUCUCUCUCUCUUUUUCUGCCUUUCAAAUAAAAUGAAAGUAAGUGAAACACUUUAUAAAAAAAGUUCACUCAAACGUGAACCUUUUAAAUUUUUUACCUGCCCCUCUUGCUGAGUCAGAUGAGCAAGAGAUAGUAUAUUUUGUUAUUGUUAAUUUUAUUGCAUUACCUUGCUUAACUUAUAAGCUGUCACAGGAAGAUAUUCACGUUACUUAUUUCUAUAUGUACCUCUAAAUUGUUUAAUAUAUAAAUCUAUUUUGAUACUUUAUACAAAUGCUAACAAUUUUCUUCACAAGUUUUUCUUAAAAUGUUAAUGCUUUUGGCACAAAGCAGAAUUAAUGUUUAUUUCAUUGAUUUUAUGCAUUUCAAGUAUUCUACAUGAUCCUGUAAUAUUUCUUUUCUAUUUUAUAUAUUUUUUAAUUUAUAUAAAGUGAACAAAGUUCAAAUAUUUCAUAUAUACAGAUUUAGGAUCAUAGUGAUACUUCCCAUCCUAACCUCCCUCCUGCCCAUGAUCCCAUUCUUCCUCACCUUCCUUCUUAUUAUUUCUUAAAACUUUUAGAAAGACAUACUUUCAGUUGAUUUACAAUCAUAAGAUUAGCCCUGCACUAAGUAAAUAAUUCAACAAAUAGCAAGAAGAAGAAAAAAAAAGUGUUCCUCAACAGUAGAGACAAGAGCUGCAAACAAUAAUCAGUUCUCAAAAUGUCAAUUUCCCUCAUAUAGAUUACAUUUUUGUACUUUAUUAGUUACCACAGAUCAGGGAAAACUUCCUAUGUAUUGCUACUUUAUGUUAUUCUGUAGGGCUGGUUUUGAAAUAUAUAAUAAUGUACAUGAACAGGCAUACAUGCUAAAUGACAGACUGUAAUUUACAACUGCAGAGGAAAAAUGUUCUUAAAUACGAGUAGAGUCCAUUUUUUCCAUUGGAGAAGUGGUACUUUGUAUCCAGCUAAUAUUGUGAAAAUGAUAUCUUCAAAAGUCCAGCAGUACAAUUUGACAGAUUGUAAGAACAGAGUUAGAACGCUAAACUCACAUAUGAAGACUUAGUAAUAUUUAAAUUCAUUUCUGGUAAGUGCUCUUUGGACUCUAAAUGUAACUGCCUUUUCUGAAAAAUGUUGAUAACUAAGAUUUAUAUUUAGGUAGGACACUGACACCACAGUCUUCUACUUUAGGAAAAAAUCUAAAUGGAAUCCUGCCUCUGUUGUCUCUUCAUAAUUAUGAUAACAUAUGACAGAAAAGUAACGUGUUUUUAAGUAGCCUACAAUCAGGAGUAAUACAAAAUAGUUUUCUUGGAAACAAUGAUAUGAUAUUGACUGUAACUAUAGGUUUCAGUUGGCCCAGUCUUUCUGUAUUUUUCUGGGGUUCUAGAAUUUAGGUAUUUCUAAGUGCAUGCAGAAUCCUCUAGUUAAGUUUACAUGUAUAAAAUCUCAUAUUUCAACAGAUAAGAAUGAGUAAGAAUCAAAUAUUAAUGAGGAAUCUUAGUAUGUCCAUACAACUCAGUACUGGUAGAUACUACAGCAUUAUGAAUCUCACAAACACUGUAUGUGAAAGAAGUCAAUUGCAACAUGUUGCCUGAUUACAUUUACAUGAAUUAACAAGAAUGAACAAAUGCACAGGACAGGAAGUACAUAAACAGCUUCCUGAGCUAGAGGGGAGGCAGAGUAAAUGGUGAAUGUCUGUUAGUAGCUAUGAGGUCUGAAGCAUUCUAAUUACAGUAGCAUAACCCUCUGUAUGUACCCAAAGCCUUAUCUGUAUUCUUUGAUUAGGUGAAUUCUGUGGUAUAUAAAUUCUAUUUAAGUAAAAUUUUAAAGUACAGAAUCUAAUCAAUAAUCUUAGAAGCAUCUCUGUAUUUCUAAAACUCAAUAACAAUUUUUAAAGUUGUUUAAUAUUUGGAAUAGAGUUUAACCCAUCUCUAAUGGAACUCACAUUUAAAUGGUUUUAUGGUUUAAAUUGUUUAAAUGGUUUUAAACCAUUUAAAGAAGCCACUAACGGCUACCAUAAAAUGUCCUUCUGUUGAAGUGCCAGACUGAAUGCCUAUCUUAAUCCUGACCCAGACCACUGGUGUGACCCACCGCAUUCUCCCAAGAGAAAACCAUCUUUGCACUCAACAGUCUAGUGUGUCACUUUGAGGAACUUCCAAGUAGGCAGUCCCCUGAGAGUAUCUCUUAGAGGUAAAGAUGGGUAGGGAAAUUUACAAAAUAAUAAUUUUCUAAAUUUCUACUCCAUGUUCUUCACUCAUGUGUGAAAUGUAUUUACAUGAACAUAAUAACUCAAACCUCAAAUAUUACUUUAACCCAGUAUUUUAUUUUAUGAUGUUUGAUAAUGGGGCAGGAGAAUGACAAAGAUAGAAGUUUUAGAGCUAAAUCUUUGUAUUCUAAGGAAAAACCAACAUGUGAAAUUAAAUAUAUGGAUUGAAGAAAAGCAUUUUUUAUAAAAAUAUGGAGUCUGAAAGAAGUAGCUUUUGGGCCUCUGGAAUCAAAAGUUUAGAAGAGAGCCUAUGUUGUGGUGUAGUGGGUAAAGCCCAUAUGGGCACUGGUUCAUGUCCUGGCUACUCCACUUCUGAUCCAGCUCUCUGUUAAUGCACUCAGGAAAAGCAGAGAGGAUGGCCCAAGUGUUUGAACCCCUGCUACCCAUCCAGGAGACCUGGAUGAAGCUACUAGCUCCUUUGGCCUGGCUCAGCCCUGGCCAUUGUAUCCAUCCGGGGAGUGAACCAGCAGAUGGAUGAUCUCUCUCUCCCUCUCUCUCUGUAACUCUUUCAAAUAAACAAAUAAUCUUUUUCUGCUGGGGCAAGAUGGUGGAAUAGGAAGGGAGCACACUGAUAGUCCGGGGAGAGAUAGUUUAAUAAAAGUGGAGAUACUGCAGGUUCAAGGAAGAGUAGGGGAGGAAACAGCAGAAGAAACUCUUCCGGAACGCGUGAUUCACAGCGGACCUGUGUGGAGAGCGUGGGAGCCCACAGUUCGGGACACCAGUGGCAGACUCAACACACCAGCGCUGGAACGCGAGGUGAGCCGAACCUCAAUAGCCCGAGACACCGGCAGGCAAGCAGAGAGAGGAGACCAGAGGGAAUGACCCCCCGGUGGGGGUGGAGUUCACCAGGCUAACUGGAAGAGAGAGAGAGAGAAAAAAAAAAAAAGGUGACUGGUACGGACACGGGUUUCUCUCUCCGCUCACCUCUCAAGGGUGAGCAAGACAAAGAGCAGGUGCCAUCUUGGACAUACGUCAUAAGCAGAGCGACCUCAGGUCUGCACCGGCCCUGAGCCUAGCAGAAAAACCUGACUCUGGGCGGGGAAAAUUAACAGGAGAUUAGGACCUAGUAA